AGUCGGGCUGAGCAAGUGUUCGCAGGGUGAACUCCGCCAGGUCGGGAACGAAGCAACGGUAGCUUUUGCUGCAUUGUGUUUAUGUUCGGCUGCC
rfam:Bacteriovorax sp. DB6_IX ctg7180002949765, whole genome shotgun sequence.